GACGAACGCUGGCGGCGUGCUUAACACAUGCAAGUCGAACGAUGAAACCUAGCUUGCUAGGCCGAUUAGUGGCGAACGGGUGAGUAACACGUGACUAACCUGCCCCUUUCUCUGGGAUAACGCUCCGAAAGGAGUGCUAAUACCGGAUACUCACAUCGAGGCACAUGCCUUGAUGUAGAAAGUUUUUCGGAAAGGGAUGGAGUCGCGGCCUAUCAGCUUGUUGGUGAGGUAACGGCUAACUAAGGCGACGACGGGUAGCCGGCCUGAGAGGGCGACCGGCCACACUGGGACUGAGACACGGCCCAGACUCCUACGGGAGGCAGCAGUGGGGAAUAUUGCACAAUGGGCGCAAGCCUGAUGCAGCGACGCCGCGUGAGGGAUGAAGGUCUUCGGAUUGUAAACCUCUUUCAGUAGGGACGAAGCGAAAGUGACGGUACCUAAAGAAGAAGCACCGGCUAACUACGUGCCAGCCGCCGCGGUAA
rnacentral:rRNA from 1 species